rnacentral:rRNA from 1 species
GGGUAGUCUUUGGGCGUAAUACGCUGUAAGACAGAGGGGUCUAGCGUUAAUAGGAAUUACGUGGCGGAAAGCGCGCGUAGUUGGCUAAUUAAGGAAAAUGUGAAAUCCCCGAGCUUAAGUUGGGAAUUGCAUUCGAUACUGGUUGGCUAGAGUAUGGGAGAGGAUGGUAGAAUUCCAGGUGUAGCGGUGAAAUGCGUAGAGAUCUGGAGGAAUACCGAUGGCGAAGGCAGCCAUCUGGCCUAAUACUGACACUGAGGUGCGAAAGCAUGGGGAGCAAACAGGAUUAAUACCCUGGUAGUC